rnacentral:rRNA from 1 species
CCUACGGGAGGCAGCAGUGGGGAAUAUUGGACAAUGGGCGAAAGCCUGAUCCAGCCAUGUCGCGUGUGUGAAGAAGGCCUUCGGGUUGUAAAGCACUUUCAGUGGGGAAGAAAGCCUUGGGGCUAAUACCCUCGAGGAAGGACAUCACCCACAGAAGAAGCACCGGCUAACUCCGUGCCAGCAGCCGCGGUAAUACGGAGGGUGCGAGCGUUAAUCGGAAUUACUGGGCGUAAAGCGCGCGUAGGCGGUCUGAUAAGCCGGUUGUGAAAGCCCCGGGCUCAACCUGGGAACGGCAUCCGGAACUGUCAGGCUAGAGUGCAGGAGAGGAAGGUAGAAUUCCCGGUGUAGCGGUGAAAUGCGUAGAGAUCGGGAGGAAUACCAGUGGCGAAGGCGGUCUUCUGGACUGACACUGACGCUGAGGUGCGAAAGCGUGGGUAGCAAACAGGAUUAGAUACCCGAGUAGUC